rnacentral:rRNA from 1 species
GUCUCAAAGAUUAAGCCAUGCAUGUCUAAGUAUAAAUCAUUUAUACAGGUGAAACUGCGAAUGGCUCAUUAAAUCAGUUAUAGUUUAUUUGAUAGCACAAUUACUACUUGGAUAACCGUGGUAAUUCUAGAGCUAAUACAUGCUAAAAGUCUCGACUUCUGGAAGGGACGUAUUUAUUAGAUAAAAACCAAUAAC